rnacentral:rRNA from 1 species
CAGUCGCCGCGGGAAUACAGAGGGUGCGAGCGUUAAUCGGAUUUACUGGGCGUAAAGCGUGCGUAGGCGGCUUCUUAAGUCGGAUGUGAAAUCCCUGAGCUUAACUUAGGAAUUGCAUUCGAUACUGGGAAGCUAGAGUAUGGGAGAGGAUGGUAGAAUUCCAGGUGUGGCGGUGAAAUGCGUAGAGAUCUGGAGGAAUACCGAUGGCGAAGGCAGCCAUCUGGCCUAAUACUGACGCUGAGGUACGAAAGCAUGGGGAGCAAACAGGAUUAGAUACCCCUGUAGUCCCUGUCUCUUAUAC